rnacentral:tRNA from 1 species
GCAGGGGUGGCAGAGCUUGGUCAAAUGCGCAGGACUAAGGAUCAAUUUUAGAAAUCCUGUGUCUUAGGACUACGUGAGUUCAAAUCUCACCCCCUGCA